UGCCAGCAGCCGCGGUAAGACGGAGGGUGCAAGCGUUACUCGGAAUCACUGGGCGUAAAGCGUACGUAGGCGGCCAAUCAAGUUGGAUGUGAAAUCCCAGGGCUUAACCCUGGAAUAGCGUUUAAUACUGUUUAACUAGAGAUCAGUAGGGGACAGUGGAAUUUACAGUAUAGAGGUGAAAUUCGUAAAUAUUGUAAGGAACACCGGUAGCGAAGGCGACUGUCUGGGCUGAUACUGACGCUGAGGUGCGAAAGCGUGGGGAGCAAACAGGAUUAGAUA
rnacentral:rRNA from 1 species